GACGAACGCUGGCGGCGUGCUUAACACAUGCAAGUCGAACGGAAAUGCCCUGCUUUCGUGGGGUGCCAGAGUGGCGAACGGGUGAGUAACACGAGAGUAACCUGCCCUCGACUUUGGGAUAACUACAGGAAACUGGGGCUAAUACCGGACAGGAGCUCCUACUGCAUGGCCGUAGUUGCAACGUUUCGGCGGUGGGGGAUGGACUCGAGGCUCAUCAGCUUGUUGGUGGGGGAGUGGCUUACCAAGGCUUUGACGGGUAGCCGGCCUGAGAGGGUGACCGGGGACAUUGGGACUGAGAUAGGGCCCAGUAGCGUACGGGAGGCAGCAGGGGGAAAUAUUGCACAACGGGCGGAAGCCUGAUGCAGCAGCGCCGCGUGCGUGAUGACGGCCUUCGAGUGGUAAACCGCUUUCGCCUGUGAUGAAGCGGGAGUGACGGUAAUGGGUAAAGAAGCACCGGCUAACUACGUG
rnacentral:rRNA from 1 species